rnacentral:pre_miRNA from 1 species
ACAACAACACGGACCGUCGGUCUACCGAGCAAUAUCACCCGCUCGGUGGAAGAUCUUCCCUUUGUCGUAUAUU